rnacentral:lncRNA from 1 species
CACGUCUUCAUUUCCAUCACUGGCCCUCUGUGCAGCUUAAAAUAGCUGCAGACUUCUCAUGAAAAAGACCAAGACUACAUCAUGGCUGAUGAAUCAAAAUCCAUACCAAGAUGAUGGCUGCUCUGGGAACAAGUGGACACUACACAACUCACCCUUUGUUCACCCUAACGCCAUCCAACUGAAAAAACCAGGAUGCAGACUUAGAACGCAGUCCAGGAUUUAACAAAAGGAUAGGAGAGUAGUCACACCACCUCGGAAAGCCCUCCUUUGAAAUCCGACAGUCACAGCUUCAGAAGACUCUGGAUUUCAGGGGAAGCUAUAACUGCUCAGGAAGAAUUCAUGUCCAAAACCACGACUUUCUGGGGAGUCCAAACAUCACAGCCCUUGACAACCGAGUGCUGGAAGAGGCCCUAGAGGUUGGCCAAUUGAUGCCGUCAUCUCAAAACCAGAAGGCAGCCCCAGGAGGGCUGGCAGUGGCCAAGACCACGAGCUAUGCAGUGGUGGAGCUGGGAUUAGAACCCAGAUAUUCUGGUGCCUCUGCCAGGCCCAGAUGCCCCCAGGAAUAGCUGAAGUCCCGGGCUGAGAUACGAGCAGAAGACUUCCAGGCAGAGGAAAUCAGAGCUGGACCUACCGGUGCUGCCAUCUGUUCUUCAGUGCUGACCUAAGAGUUGGG